rnacentral:rRNA from 1 species
UGCAGUCGAACGGAAGCAAAGAUUUCGGUUUUUGCUUUAGUGGCGAACGGGUGAGUAACGCGUGAGGAACCUGCCUUUCAGUGGGGGACAACAGUUGGAAACGACUGCUAAUACCGCAUAAUGCUUUUGAGUGGCAUCACUUAAAAGCCAAAGAUUUAUUGCUGAAAGAUGGCCUCGCGUCUGAUUAGCUAGUUGGUGGGGUAACGGCCCACCAAGGCGACGAUCAGUAGCCGGUCUGAGAGGAUGAACGGCCACAUUGGGACUGAGAUACGGCCCAGACUCCUACGGGAGGCAGCAGUGGGGAAUAUUGGGCAAUGGGGGAAACCCUGACCCAGCAACGCCGCGUGAAGGAAGAAGGCCUUCGGGUUGUAAACUUCUUUUACCAGGGGCGAAAGAAAUGACGGUACCUGGAGAAAAAGCAACGGCUAACUACGUGCCAGCAGCCGCGGUAAUACGUAGGUUGCGAGCGUUGUCCGGAUUUACUGGGUGUAGAGGGCGUGUAGGCGGAGAUGCAAGUUGGGAGUGAAAUCCAUGGGCUCAACCCAUGAACUGCUUCCAAAACUGUAUCCCUUGAGUAUCGGAGAGGCAAGCGGAAUUCCUAGUGUAGCGGUGAAAUGCGUAGAUAUUAGGAGGAACACCAGUGGCGAAGGCGGCUUGCUGGACGACAACUGACGCUGAGGCGCGAAAGCGUGGGGAGCAAACAGGAUUAGAUACCCUG